UGGGGAAUAUUGCACAAUGGAGGGAACUCUGAUGCAGCGACGCCGCGUGAACGAAGAAGGCUUUCGAGUUGUAAAGUUCUUUUAUAUGGGAAGAUAAUGACGGUACCAUAAGAAAAAGCUCCGGCUAACUACGUGCCAGCAGUCGCGGUAAUACGUAGGGGGCUAGCGUUCUCCGGAAUCACUGGGCGUAAAGGGUUCGCAGGCGGAAAUGCAAGUCCGGGGUAAAAGGCAGUAGCUUAACUACUGUAAGCAUUUGAAACUGCAUAUCUUGAGAAGAGUAGAGGUAAGUGGAAUUUUUAGUGUAGCGGUGAAAUGCGUGGAUAUAAAAAAGAAUACCGGAGGCGAAGGCGACUUACGGAGCACAUUCUGACGCUGAGGAACGAAAGCGUGGGUAGCAAACAGG
rnacentral:rRNA from 1 species